CUGCAGUCUUGCUGGCUUGCCGCUGCUGCUGCCCCCCGUCUGAAAAAAGGAGAAAAGGGCUAUCAUUGGUGGGCUUGAAGUGCCCAAAUGUGGACCAGCCCAGCAAGGUCAGAGGUCCUGGACAGCAGGGGACCAAGGUGUCCAGAACAUCUUGGCAUAAAAGCAAAGCAUCCCAUCAAAGCUUCUUUGGAACAAACAAGCCCUCUUAUAAGAAAGCUGUUCUGUCAGGUCCUCCUUGGAGAACCAGCAUUCAGUGAACUGGACAAACUCUUCUGCAGGAAUGGUGGAAAAACCUGUUUCUGCUGCUAUCAAGCUGCAUUAAUAGUUACAAGACUGAUGGCCUUUUUCACCCCUUCCCUACUAAAUCCCAAAUUCAUAUUAGAUUCUUUUAUAUAUAUACUGCAGUCUAGCAUUAAGAAGCCUGUUUAUUUCUUUGUCAAAGCCACAGCAUUACCUAUAUUUACAUAUCUGAAGUCUCACUGUAACUCUUUAAAAAUAAUAAACAAAGAAAAAAAACACAAUUCUA